rnacentral:rRNA from 1 species
GAUGAACGCUGGCGGCGUGCCUAAUACAUGCAAGUCGAGCGAACAGACGAGGAGCUUGCUCCUCUGACGUUAGCGGCGGACGGGUGAGUAACACGUGGAUAACCUACCUAUAAGACUGGGAUAACUUCGGGAAACCGGAGCUAAUACCGGAUAAUAUAUUGAACCGCAUGGUUCAAUAGUGAAAGACGGUUUUGCUGUCACUUAUAGAUGGAUCCGCGCCGCAUUAGCUAGUUGGUAAGGUAACGGCUUACCAAGGCAACGAUGCGUAGCCGACCUGAGAGGGGGAUCGGCCACACUGGAACUGAGACACGGUCCAGACUCCUACGGGAGGCAGCAGUAGGGAAUCUUCCGCAAUGGGCGAAAUCCUGACGGAGCAACGCCGCGUGAGUGAUGAGGGUCUUCGGAUCGUAAAACUCUGUUAUUAGGGAAGAACAAAUGUGUAAGUAACUAUGCACGUCUUGACGGUACCUAAUCAGAAAGCCACGGCUAACUACGUG